rnacentral:tRNA from 1 species
CGGGCUGUAGCGCAGGGGUUUAGCGCACUAGUCUGGGGGACUAGGGGUCGCCGGUUCAAAUCCGGCCAGCCCGA